UCCCUUGUGGCUCAGUGGUAAAGAAUCUGCCUGCAAAGCAGGAGACCUGGGUUCGAUCCUUCGUUGGGAAA
rnacentral:tRNA from 1 species